GCGUCGGUAGUGGCAGUGGUUACCAUACGCUCCCGGAAAGAGUGAGAUCUGGGUUCGAAUCUCGGCUGACGCA